rnacentral:rRNA from 1 species
UACAGAGGUCUCAAGCGUUGUUCGGAUUCAUUGGGCGUAAAGGGUGCGUAGGUGGCGCGCUAAGUCAGGUGUGAAAUCUCGGGGCUUAACUCCGAAACUGCAUUUGAUACUGGCGUGCUUGAGGACUGGAGAGGAGACUGGAAUUCAUGGUGUAGCAGUGAAAUGCGUAGAGAUCAUGAGGAAGACCAGUGGCGAAGGCGGGUCUCUGGACAGUUCUUGACACUGAGGCACGAAGGCCAGGGGAGCAAACGGG